CUCCGCGCCCACUAAAUCCCGUGCGUCGGCCAAGCCUAGAGGCCGGCGACGAGAACCUCCGCCCGGUGUUGGUACUCGCCAUCCGGAGCGCAUGGGGCUAGGCGUCCUCGUUAGUCCGUCACGCCGCAGGUCACCUCUAACCGCCGCCAUGUUGCCUCUUGGUGACCUGGGCUCCCGGCGCCCCUCCGCCUCCCUCCCUCCUCGCCUAGAUGCACCGCUCAUCGAUGACCUAAUCCACGGCGUCCGCAUUCCAUCAUUGUGGAGCUCACCGCGGAAGGCAAGGAGGAGGAUAUGGUGGUAGCCUUGCCACCGGGAUUAAUUGAGGAUAUCCAAUCUAUUGAUUUCGAACAAAUUACUCAUCAGCUUUCAAUGGAUUGAGCUCCCUCUCAAAUUGAUUGCGGGUAUGGGGAAAUACAAAGGAUUUCGGGCCCUUGGGGAUCGCCGGCAACGAGCGCCCAACUGUGUUGUAAAAGGGAAAGUCGAUGAGGCAAUUGUUGGUGGAGGUGGACAUCACGUUCACAGCAAGCAGCAAGUAACCAGCCCCACUUCAACCCUCCACGUCCAGGUAUUCUUGUUUCAACUUCAUGUCAUAGUUUUUUUUAAUGUUUUGUGCUAAGCUGUACUCUAGAUAAUAUACUUUAUCUGGUGCAAACAACAGAGCAAAUGACGCCAUAGACAAAUUCUUCUGGAACGAAAUUCUACAAGUACUUUUUUGGAUAAGCUGUAGUUUUGUUAUGUAAUGUAUCUAUUGAGAUUUACAAAAAAAAAAAUUGAUGGGUAGAUUCGAUUUUAAGGUGUCUAUGGAAAUAAAAAAGGUCCUUAUAUUCUGUAACUUUUUGCUCACAAAGGGUCCAUCUGAUAUGUAAUUUGACACGUAUAUAUGACGUACCUUCAUAUAUAUACAAAUCAGAGUAACAAAAGUAUCAAAUUCAGAAAUGCGGAGGAUGCUCUAUGAUUAGGAAGUGAACCCUUCGUAUCUGAAGCUAAUAUUUCUUUCUUUUCUUACAUAGUGUUGCUGCCCACAUUACAAACCUAGGUGUGCCUCUUUCCUUUCCCUGUCUUUAUCUUUUUGUUGUUAGAUUGAUUCAUCCCCAUCUGACACCAUAAGGAUUAGUCUUAUUUUUGCACAUUGCCUAACUUAUCCUAUUCAAUACUAUUCAUUUCACUGCAUUGUUAUUUCAUUCUUCAAUACAUUCUCUGAAGAAAUAAAUCAUCAAAUUUGGCAGUAUCAGGCGGUAUUUUGGAAGAAGAAAAUCUUCCAAACACUGAAUCAAGUACAGAGAUAUUUAAUGUUGUUUUAUGAAUUGGCUUGCCAUUAUGCUAAAAAGAUUUGUGUAAACUGUACUAUCAUUUUAUGAACAAGCUACUUGACUUCUAUAAAUAUCAAUACGAUAUAUUGAACAUGUUAUUGUAAUAUGUUUGAAACAUCAUGAAGAGUAGUUGUAUUACAUUAUGCCUAGCUUAAUUGAUAUUUCAACCACUUGUCAUGGUAAUAAAUUACUGAGCAAAUGCAGAUAUAUUUAGUACAUUUAUUGUCUGAACCACCAGCAUCUUCUGGGCUAUAAGUUUGGGUCGUUGGUAGUGACAGUAUGGUAAAUGGUUUUGCAUAGUAGCCCCAGAUAUUCUGUUGUGGAAAUUGUAAUUUUUAGCAUUGCGAGAAUCGUAAUACUAUGUCCUACGGCUUGUUCGAGAGCAGUCAUUUAAGAGCAGAUGGAUGCUAUUUUGCUUACCUAUGCUUGCUGCAUGAAAAAGCUGAGAGGAUUCAGAUUAAUUUUUACUUGUGUGUGGUGCUACUUUGGUCAUCACAAAACCAAAUGAACCGUAUUACUUUGGUCAUCAAUGUUUUUCAAACUCUUCUUACAACGUAUUACUUUGGUCAUUUCUGUACCUCUAUAUCACAGAAUGUAUUUCCAAUGUUGAUGCUCCAGUAUGGCGGCCAGACACAACAUUCCCUAUUUGUUCUUUCUACCGAGGAUAGGGAUGAAGACAAUGUUGAUCGUCGGUUCACAUACACUCCAAAAUUCUUGAGGAUCCCGUGGAAGUCAAUUGCCAUAGCGUUGUUCCUUCUCUUCCUGGGGAUCUCUCUUGUGUUCUUCCUGUAAUAUCAUGUGUGCAAGGGAUGGGAUGGACGUUUUGGAGAACCUGCAAGACCGUGCAUGUCCCUUGUUGUGAACAAGCUUAAAGAAUUAUUCAGGAUAAUGGCUAGCAAAGCUUUUGGUAACCUAAAGCAUAAUUGUUUUCCAUUCCUUCAUUUCCUAAUUCAUUUUGUUUGGACCAUGUGAUUUCUAGAGACCGGUCUUUCUUCUCUAAAUACAUGUAUUAAUACGCAUGUUUAUUUUAAGGAGAUCAGAUUCAUCUUAUCACCGAAUGUAAGCGAGCUUUUAUGAUUGAAUAUUAUUCUGUGAAUACAGGAAUAUCUUUUUCAUAUAACAUUCGAGAUCCAAAAAUAUUCAAGGAAAGUGCACGAGCAAUUUUUGAAUCAGAAAAUUAAUUCCAUAAAGUAAGCAUAAUCCUUUCCACUAAGCAUUCUUGUAAUUCUAUUAGACACAUUGGGGCGAGUACACAUCUCAAAAGAAUAUAAGAGUCAGAUGACGGCGCUCGGUGGCGGAGGUAGAGCUAAUAGGAGCAUUGCAUGUAGUCUUGCACUUGCAUAAACUUUCUCAUGAUUAUUCGUUGUUUUGAGGUUGUCUAAUCACUGGUCUUUUCUCUAGGUGAGCUCGGAUGGGAGAUCUUUGGCAGGCAGUAUACUUGACGGAGCAAAUAAAAAAUAUGGAGUCCUUUCUCACAUUCAAACAUAUACCUCCUACGCCAUGUUGCAAAGCAGGAGAAAUGCAAAGCAGAGAAGGUGUUAUGAGAAAUGGCAAAUGAAGGUCUAGAGCCUAAUCUCAAGAUGUAAACUACCUUGAUUAAAGGUUGCUAAAUGCAUCACUUCCAGAUGGAGCAUUGGAAUGUUUCUAAGAGAUGAAACCGGUGCGACUGAAGCGACGAGGCUGCUUAUUAUUGCUUGGUGUCCACUUCUCUUGAAGGAAAAUGUAAUGGAGGGAAGCACAUACAUAUGAAUCUUGUGUGUUUGCAGAGAAAUGUUUAAUAGCCACUUACGAGAGGGUUUAUAUAUAAACGAUAUAUAAUAAAUUGUUGUAUGCAUUGCAGAAAAUCUAG